GGCGAACGGGUGAGUAACACGUGAGUAACCUGCCCUUGACUCUGGGAUAAGCGUUGGAAACGACGUCUAAUACCGGAUACGAGCUAGGACCGCAUGGUCACUAGUUGGAAAGAAUUUCGGUCAAGGAUGGACUCGCGGCCUAUCAGCUUGUUGGUGAGGUAAUGGCUCACCAAGGCGACGACGGGUAGCCGGCCUGAGAGGGUGACCGGCCACACUGGGACUGAGACACGGCCCAGACUCCUACGGGAGGCAGCAGUGGGGAAUAUUGCACAAUGGGCGCAAGCCUGAUGCAGCAACGCCGCGUGAGGGAUGAAGGCCUUCGGGUUGUAAACCUCUUUUAGCAGGGAAGAAGCGAAAGUGACGGUACCUGCAGAAAAAGCACCGGCUAACUACGUGCCAGCAGCCGCGGUAAUACGUAGGGUGCAAGCGUUGUCCGGAAUUAUUGGGCGUAAAGAGCUCGUAGGCGGUUUGUCACGUCUGCUGUGAAAUUUCGAGGCUCAACCUCGAACUUGCAGUGGGUACGGGCAGGCUAGAGUGCGGUAGGGGAGAUGGGAAUUCCUGGUGUAGCGGUGGAAUGCGCAGAUAUCAGGAGGAACACCAAUGGCGAAGGCACAUCUCUGGGCCGUAACUGACGCUGAGGAGCGAAAGCGUGGGGAGCGAACAGGAUUAGAUACCCUGGUAGUCCACGCCGU
rnacentral:rRNA from 1 species